ensembl:lncRNA
AUGUCCGGAAUAAAGACGAGCAUAUCCAUGUCACACAGUAAGAUUUUAACCAUAUACCUCGCAGUCACAGACCGUAUCAACGUCAGUGAUACUUAUUGUAUUUCGCCACAGGGUGUCACUGUGGCCUCAACCCUUCGCCUUCGCUUACUCUGAGCUCGAUUGCUAUGUCUGAGGUAAACCACGCCCUCCUCAUUACCCUACGCAGGAAGAAAUGUAGGAAGAAAUAAAUAAAGAAAUAAAUAAAUGUAGAAAUACAUAAAUGUAGGAAUAAAUAAAUGUAAAAAUAAAUAAAUGUAGAAAUAAAUAAAUGUAUAAAUGAAUAAAUGUAUAAAUAAAUAAAAGAAUAAAUAAAUAAAUAUGGGAAAAAAUAAAUAUAUACAUAAAUAAGGAAAUAAAUGUAUAAAUAAUUAUUUAUUUCCGUUUUUUUGCUUUUCUAUGUAUAUUUAUUUAUAUAUAUAUUUAUUAUUUUUUUCUUUUUUACAUUUAUUUGUAUAUUUAUUUAUGUAUUUAUAUAUUUUUUAUUUUGGCAGACUUGGCAUUCCAUACAGCUGAGCGAUCAUAAUGCAAAUGAACCUGUUAAAUGAUGCACAGACGAGCUUCUUCCCUCCACCAUUCAUGUUUAUUCCCUUUAUAUUCAUUGUAGUAUUUAUCUUGUGCUCAUCUGAAAUGCAUCACUUCUCUGUGUAUUAUUCUCUCACUUCCUCUUCUCUCGGUAUCGAAUUUAAUGCUUUUAGGAUUGAUGAGCUGUAACUAUUUCUCCCCCCCCCCCCCCCAACAGGGAUUGACAGAUAAUUUCAUUUUCUCAUUGUGCAUCAUUGGAUUGCAUUGCUCUCUGUGUGUGUGUGUGUGUGUGUGCGCGUGCACAGAGACCCUCCUCCCAAUCCGAAUGAUUCUGCGCUCCCCCUCCCUUCUCUCCCUCCAUAUGUGUGAGGAAGAUGGUUGCAAGCAGCGUGGGCCUGUUUUUACUGUCGCACAUCCUGCCGUGAUCCCACCGGGAGGAAGCGGAGGAGAAGAAUCCCUCCAUUCAGAUCCUGAGGUGGGAGGAACAGGCCUGGAGUCAGCCAGAGCAGAGAGGUGAAUCUCCCUUCAUCCAUCUCUUUACAUCGUUUACCAGGUUGAGAUUAGGUUUUCAGGUCUAGGCAUCAGCUUUCUUUGCUGUUCAUCUGUUCAUCAUGUCACUUUUUAUUAAUUGACAAUGCGUUUUGAUGAUUUUUUGGUUAAACAUGACCAUGGUAUUAGCAUUUUUACCAUGGUAAAACCAUGUUGUUUUUUUUAAGAACAUGCUUCAUUGUAAUAGCAUAUUCUUUAAAGUAUAAUUUAAAUAAAUGUGAAGCACAAAAAAGUACA